rnacentral:tRNA from 1 species
GGGCUCGUAGCUCAAUUGGCAGAGCAACCGGCUCUUAACCGGUAGGUUCAGGGUUCGACUCCCUGCGAGCCCA